rnacentral:rRNA from 1 species
AACGUAGGAGACAAGCGUUAUCCGGAUUUAUUGGGCGUAAAGGGCGAGCAGGCGGACAAGUAAGUCUGAUGUGAAAGCUCCCGGCUUAACUGGGAGAGGGCGUUGGAGACUGCUUGACUAGAGGGAAGCAGAGGCAGACGGAAUUCCCGGUGGAGUGGUGAAAUGCGUAGAGAUCGGGAGGAACACCAGUGGCGGAGGCGGUCUGCUGGGCUUUACCUGACGCUCAGACGCGAAAGCAUGGGGAGCGAACGGG